rnacentral:rRNA from 1 species
UACGAAGGGGGCUAGCGUUGUUCGGAAUUACUGGGCGUAAAGCGCACGUAGGCGGCUCGAUAAAUUAGAAGUGAAAGCCCCGGGCUUAACCUGGGAAUUGCUUUUAAGACUGUCGGGCUAGAAUCCAGAAGAGGGUAGUGGAAUUCCGAGUGUAGAGGUGAAAUUCGUAGAUAUUCGGAAGAACACCAGUGGCGAAGGCGGCUACCUGGUCUGGCAUUGACGCUCAUGUGCGAAAGCGUGGGGAGCAAACAGG